rnacentral:rRNA from 1 species
CCUACGGGAGGCUGCAGUGGGGAAUAUUGGACAAUGGGCGAAAGCCUGAUCCAGCCAUGCCGCGUGUGUGAAGAAGGCCUUCGGGUUGUAAAGCACUUUCAGUGGGGAAGAAAGCCUUGGGGCUAAUACCCUCGAGGAAGGACAUCACCCACAGAAGAAGCACCGGCUAACUCCGUGCCAGCAGCCGCGGUAAUACGGAGGGGUGCGAGCGUUAAUCGGAAUUACUGGGCGUAAAGCGCGCGUAGGCGGUCUGAUAAGCCGGUUGUGAAAGCCCCGGGCUCAACCUGGGAACGGCAUCCGGAACUGUCAGGCUAGAGUGCAGGAGAGGAAGGUAGAAUUCCCGGUGUAGCGGUGAAAUGCGUAGAGAUCGGGAGGAAUACCAGUGGCGAAGGCGGCCUUCUGGACUGACACUGACGCUGAGGUGCGAAAGCGUGGGUAGCAAACAGGAUUAGAUACCCUUGUAGUC